rnacentral:lncRNA from 1 species
AGCUCGGUGUGUACAUCAGAUGUCGCUGGAAGGAACAAAGAAAAGGAAAAUGAAGGGAAGCUCCACACUGCAGAGAAGUUUAUUUAACAGAUUGCUGAGCACUAGGCUGUUAAGUGAAAAACAGGAUUACUUGUGAGAAAAAUCAGAAUCCUGGAGCAGCUGUAGCUAGAAAUGGGAUUAAACAAAAUGCCUUAAUGUUGAAACAUGAAAUCAGAGGCUGAGGAUAAAUGCAGACAGUUGAUGAGAAGAGGCCUAUGGCCAUGUGGCAGAAUGUCCUGUGUGGGAAAAUGGGCAGCUGAACACCAGUAUAGCCAACUCAUAUUUUUGAGUUGACUAGGAGACUUACUAGUGCAGGAUGAAGUAGUUGUGCAAUGCUCAGAGGAGGGCAGGAAAAUCACAGAAGGUCUCUGAACCUGGUGGUUGAAAACAUCAGAGGUGGGUAGAAAUUUUAAAAAAUAUAAUCUUAGUUAUACAAGAGACAAAGUUUGAGUGUUGGUUAUUUGUUGUGGUUUGGAAAAGGGUGAUCUGGGCAGCUGCAUUAAAGGUCUGAUGUGAAUGAAUGUAUCAAUGGCUAAGAUAAAUACGAUUCUUAGAGGCAGAAGCAAAGCAGUGAAAAGGCACUGAAACUUGAAUCCCCUGACUAAAAGUGAAUCUUUUUCUGUCCCAUAUGGGACAGACACGUGAGGUGUGUUGUUCAUAUGUUUUGCAGCUCAUAAAAACAACACUUAAGCUUUAUUUCUCACCAGUGUUUUCUGCAUGCAGUAAAUACUCUUUGUGGCUAUGCCAUGGAUUAUAAAUGCCUAAGACAGUAAUUUUAACUUCCAGCUGUGUGUGUGCCUUG